UCCUUACCUCCUUUUCCUUUCAUCUUAACUUUUCCUUCAUUUUUUUUGGGCCAAUUCUUGACUUUUCCUUUAUUUUUUUGGCCAAUUCUUGACUUUCAAAUCCCUGCGUGCUAGAGCAUAUCCCACCAUUUUCACAAAAAUUCAGAUGCUUCCUAUUCCCUCUCUCCUAUUUCAAGCAAAAGGGUACAAAGUGCAAAUAAUAGUCAAACUGAAUCUUUACUUGUUUAUGAAUUGUCAAGGCCAAAUCUUUGAAAAUCUAAAGUAAUAGGGAAAUUCAGUCAAUAUCUCUUAUGAAGAUCUCUUCAAACGGCUCUCUUGGAAUUCAAGACCCGUGACUCCCUAUAUCUUUUUUUUUGAAUUUCAAAACUCAAAUCUCAAUUCUAGCUAUUUUUACCUAUAAAUACUUCCUCAAAGCUCCAGCCUCACCAAGCUGGAAUGACCAGAAAAUUUCCCCCCAAAAAACUAAAUUUAUAUCUACUCUACUUUUCUUUUAAUCUUAAACUUUACAAUCUGUGGAAAAUUUCUCAAUAUUUAAUAUCCAUUUUUAUAUUCUCGAAAACUAAGGAGUAGUAGAUCUAAGCCCUCAAAGUCCUAGUUCACUGCCCCACAAAAGAAAUCGACCCCGACUCUUGUUGGGUACUAUUCUUCCAACGACUGUUUCACUCACUAUUGAGUGCGGAUUGGAUGUGGACUAAUUUUUGGGGCCGUUGCCGGGGAGUUAAAAUGAGGUACAACCAUUGAAGCAAACAAUGAUCUCGGAAAUGUGCCUUUGGGGGAUGUGGAUGGCGAGGAUGAGCAAGUUGAGGAGGUACCUCUUGAACCUCAUGCCAAUCGAAGAGGCCGGGCUCCUCAUGACUAUGUGCCCGCUCCUCCCUACCUCCACCACGAGCGGCUCCACACUGAAUAUUGGCCAACGAAGGUUAUGCUAAUGUAAUAGUCCCUCCCCGUAUUAGGGCGGACAACUUCCAAAUCACCAAUCUGAUGCUCACUUUGCUUGAGCAACGAGAUUUCUUCACCGGUGCUCCAACACAAAAUGCGUAUAAAUAUUUGAAGGAGUUUGUGGACACUUGUUGGGGGAUAAAGCAAACAAAUGUCUCCGAGUAUGCAUUGGAGCUAAGGCUUUUUCCCUUCUCUCUAUGGGGAAAAGCUUCAGAUUUGUUCGAACGAUUGCCGAACAAUUCGAUUUACACUUGGAGUUGGCAGAAAAGUUCAUUUCUAAGUUCUUUCCUCCCGGACACAUGGUUACACUUCGAGAUGAGAUCUUGGCAUUCAGGUAAGAGCCGAAUGAACUAUUACACGAGAUAUGGGAGCGGUAUAGAACAAUGGUUAAGGAAUGUCCCAAUAAUGAUAUGACGGAAAACAUGAUUCAACAAACCUUCUAUCGUGGGAUUAACACAACCAACCAAUGUGUAGUGAAUCAACUAGCAAGUAGGACUUUAUGACUAUGCCUUAUGCGGAUGCAUGUGAGAUUUUGGCUGAAAUGGCGGAAACAUCAUCGGCUUGGCAAUCCUGGGCCAAUGUUCCACGAGGUGACCUGAAUAUGAUCCACCUUCACAAAGAAUUGCAAGACCAUGGGCAAGCCAUUGCCGAAUUGACAACUACCCAUGAUUCAACUAGCAAAGGCCUAACUAAAUCAAGUGCAAACUCCUAAGCAAGUCAAUGAUAUGUAAGGAGUGUACAUGAUGGUGAACAAGAGGAGGACCAAGGGUCCACAAGUGCAAAAUCGAGUGGAAACUUAAGUGCAAGAAGAUCGUGGAUUUGAGCAAAAUGAAUCCUAUAAUAAACAAGAAGUGGAACUACAAUAUGUGAAUAAUUUUCAAGGGCAAAGAAACAACUUCCAAGGCCCAAGCCAACAACAAUGGAGAUCUCAAAACAA